AACUGAACUCAAAAACCAACUGCACCAACGAGCUUGCCAAACUGUCUCAACGAGAGCACUCAACGAAACGUCCCACAAGAGACCACACCAACAACACUAAACGGACACGAAAAGGGUGGGAAACCCCCAAACGAAAUCGAAGAGAACCAGAAACGCAGACUGAAAAACCCAAAAAGUACUGCGCAGAAAUAAGCUCAAAACGCUCUAUACUACCCAAGGAUUCCAGAAAACACAACGAGAAGUAAACGAAAACCGGAAACAGUGUACGCAGAAACUGUCCCGAAAGGCUCUAUACUACCCAAGGACUCCAGAAAACACAACGAGAAUUAAACAAAAAUCGGAAAAAAAAGUACGCAGAAACUGCCCCAAAAGCUCUAUACGAU
rnacentral:lncRNA from 1 species